UCAGUGCAUACCCUCUAUAGACGUGUGGUGGUCCAUCCCCUCCAAAAUGAAAUAAAUAAAAUAAACCUAGGUUCAUGGAGGCAAAAUAACCAACAUUAGUAACUAUGCUAAUGACAGACAUUUGAAAUAUUACUCAAUAGCGAUUAUGGGGGGUGGAAUGUCAUUGGUCACCCCUGUAGGCUGAGGCCGUAAUUAUGAGCUGGUCUCAGGUCAGAGAAGUUGGCCACACCCACUUUGUUAAUGGCCAUUCUAGGUCGAAGAUGCGCUGUCAGUGACGCGAGUGAGUAUGAAGAGAAAUGAUAACAUCCAAAGCUUCUUUUCCAAAAAAGAAAUGAGUCAGACUCAGCCACAGCUUCUCCUGCACGACAUGGUUCCUCACCUGGUUAGGAAGAUGAUUCUACUGAUGUUGACACAAAUUGUGAAGAGGCUCUUCAGGCCCCACCUGCACACUCUGUCCCAGCUCGGUCACUUGACAUGGACAAGUAUAUCUAACUUUCUGCAACCCAUCUCAAAAACAGGGGAGUUAUUCUGUGUUAAAUUUGAUUUGUUAUGGAUCGUGGUUCCUGUAAAAGCACUUCAGAAGGAGAAUUAAACCGUGCAGCUCUUUGCAUCUUGUAUUUAUUUAGUGUUGUUCUUGAGAGUUUAAAAAUUUACAGAACAUUGUGUUAUUGCACACACGUAUUAUCUUCAUAUUGUUCUUGAGAAUUUAAAAGUUAA